UGUGGACGAAAUGAAAUGCACGUUACAGCACGAAUGUAAAAAUGGAAUCAACUGAAACGCUUAUGGGAAAACCACAGAAGAGUUUCUUUUUUUAAACUGGACAAAUUACGGUGCUACCCCUAGACAAAUUUGUGGGUGACAGUGGGUGGCCUACGAGAUGUACAUUUCCACCUGGAUCAACAUGAGUAUGUGAAAUCCCUCAAACAAAGAACAACAAGGAAACUUCACACAGCAAGGCAGAAAUCCAACACCACGCCAAAACCUAGCUGGCUGACGUACUGACUGGGACAUCGUGCCUUCUUUUUCUGGCGUGACAUCCAAAUCAUCAAAACACGGUCGCUGCG